rnacentral:lncRNA from 1 species
UUUGGUUAAUUGCUUGCUUCCAGGAACCAAUUCGCCGACAUAUUUUCCGUAUUCAAAGUGACCUUAGCGUGACCCUUAUCGUAGAAAUCCGGUGAUCGCAAUACGCAUGGAUCUAUCAUUUAAAUAAACUAUUAUCUGAUUGUACAUGUUAUACACGUGCUUAAUAUCCAUGCUUCUUUGUUGAUUGUUUACUAUAUGGUGACAAUCGGUAAACUACGGCUUCAAAAUACGACAAUUAAUGAGCGGCCAUAUUUUCAAUUCAUAACAGACAGAGAGAAAAAA